rnacentral:rRNA from 1 species
UACAGAGGUCUCAAGCGUUGUUCGGAUUCAUUGGGCGUAAAGGGUGCGUAGGCGGUUCGGUAAGUCCUGUGUGAAAUCCCUCGGCUCAACUGAGGAACUGCACGGGAGACUGCCGGGCUUGAGUUCGGGAGAGGGAAGCGGAAUUCCGGGUGUGAGCGGUGGAAUGCGUAGAGAUACCGGAAGAACACCCGUGGCGAAGGCGGCUCUCUGGGACGGUACUGACGCUGAGACGCGAAAGCGUGGGGAGCGAACAGGG